rnacentral:lncRNA from 1 species
GUACACGGCAGGAAGCUGUGCUCUUCCUGAUGGACGUCAGCUCCUAUCUCUCCUGGGGAGUGGAGGCUGCUCUGGAGCGGGGCCAAGAUCGGGAGGCCCAGGAGAGAAAAGGGCCUGCAAUCUACCUCCCAGUCAACAAGAUGCUAUAAUAAAAACAUAGCCAACAGUCACUCAGGGUUUAUUACGGUGCCAGAUGAAGAAACAGGUGCAGAACCGUGGAGUAACCUGCGCUGGGUCUCCAGUAGAAAAACAGGCCCUUGGUGAGAUGAAUUUACCCACUUUGGCCACCAGGGGCGCUGUUGGCACAGCUUGAACUCGAGACCAGCGCUGUCCAACGGAAACCGAACCUCCAGCUAGGGGGACUGAGGGAAGGCUUCCCAGAGGAGGUGACCCUGGCAUUGGGUUCCCAGGAGUGAAGAAGAUUUUGACAAUCAGCAAGGAGAGCUUUCCAGACGAGGAAGCUGCAUGUUGAGGGAGAGAAAGGAGAAUAUUUUGCUCACUUUCAAUCGUUAUCGACUCAUCCCCCCAAAGCCGGCAAUAUCGACCCUGCCUUCCAACACACUUCCGGAGCUUG